UUAACUUGUACUUGAGUUUGAGAAAUUUAACUUAAGUAAAACUCUUAAAGUACUGAAACACUAGACUAUUGAGGAUUCUAACUUAAGUAGCAUUAGUGUAAAUUAAGUCUAGCUAAUCGCUGAAGAAUAGUAUAACUUUGUUGAAGGGAGAAUACUAUAAAUUGCUACAAUUUUAAUAAUAAAAAAAUUGGCUCUUGAAAUUGAAGAUAUUAUGAUCAAAAGUAACAAUUUUGUAUUUAAUUGAAAAUACAACUAUAUUUUCUACUAUUAACUUAUCAUGCACACUCUUAAAACAAAAAAAAAAUGUGCAAAAAAAUUUGCUUUGGCACAAGUGCAGUGGAAUUGCCUUAGCCUACAAGAUAGAAAACAUUCAGUGGUGUAAAUAGGACAUGCAAACGAGAUAAAAAAAUUGCAUGGGCACAAGUGUAGUGCAUACCUAACUCAUUUUGUUGUCGCCCCUGCUACUUCUAUAAACAUAACAAAGUCAACCAUAUUUUCCAACAUUUAUUAACUUAUCAUGCACACUCUUAAAAUAACAAAAAAAAAUGUGUCAAUUAGUUACCUUCUCUCUUUCAAGAUGAAACCUAGAAAUAAUAUUGUCCCUUUUGAACUUGGAUUUGGAAAGAAAGGGUGGAGUUCACAAUGGUCUUUUUACGCCAACGGGUAGAAAUAUUUUCCAAAUCUACUUCUUUACAGAGACGAGUCUUCUUCUUAGGUUUCUUAGGUUUCUUAUUCGUCUGAGUACAUUUUUUGUAUAUCUGCCCAUAUGGGCAGGACAACCUCGGGACGCUCUAAGAGCUAACAAUUAGCUGCUCUUGCUUUAAGGGGUCAUCAUGCCCCAAUUGAUGAUCCUACUGCUGCAUUGGGUUAUGAUACCCUAACUGAUCAUCCUCCAUAUCCAAGAGUUGAUCCAAGUUCUCUACACAAAUUUAAAAAACUCAAAUCUAAUAAGUAAUAUUAGAUAGUGAAUUUGGUUUGGAAAAUAUCUAAUGAACAUUACCAAAAUGAGAGAGCAAGUUGUACUGAGAGUCCCCAUGUCUCUCAUUUAGACACAAUCCCCAUGUUAAAGUUAUGUAAAGAAAAAAAUCAACUUACGUAUUUCCCCAUCAUGCUCUUGUGUUGGAGAUGUUAUCUCUUCCUCUUGAUUUUGAAAACCCCUCUUUUCUUCAUCUAUAACAUUAAAAAAAAGUUAGAAUACAAAGGAAGGAACAAGCAAGAAAAAAAAGAGGCUGCGGGGGUGGGCCGGGGGGGACACAAGUUAUUGAUUACCUUCAAUAAACAAACACUGUCAACGAUCACACCAAACUGACACAAAAUCUUCAUGGACCAAGCUCCAAUUUUCUUUUGUCCUCGCCUAGAUUUUUUUUACAUCUAUCAUGUUUCUAGUGAAUAGAAUAGAUAUGAAUCAUCUUGGAUUGAAGAUGAAAAGAAAUAUGUAGUUGCUUUUUCUUUAAGACAGCAGGAUCAUGGAGAAUUACCUUCUCUAUAGAUAUAAGUGAUGUCAAAGCAUGUUCCAAGGGAACUUGACAAUCAUAUGGAGAAGAUAAGAAAUUUCCUAAUAGUCUAGCAUAUGGG
rnacentral:lncRNA from 1 species